AUGCUGGUUACUUCGUGUUUCGUUAUUGGAUCAGGGGGGUCAUCCCACGCGACCGUCCCUUUCUCGAGGUCUACUGCUGUGCUCUACCGGUUUGGAGUUAGGGUUUUUUAUCGUCGGCCGUGGAUUGACGGAGAAGGCAGAUGGCGGUCCACAACGGCUCCUGGGUCCUUCUCGGCUAGUACAACGGUGGCAAUGAAUAAAAACAAUUGAAAGACUUCGAGAAGCGAGAAUAAUGUUGCAGCCAACAUUUUCAAGAUCAAACUUAUGCUGCGGAUGGAUCUGUAUAAUUUUUGGCGUCAUUUCAUUUGUGGUAUUUUGUUAUGCUGCAAUAAUAUCCAAGCUUCUUUCAGAAUCAAGAUGUCCGAUAUUAUUUUCCAUUCAAAAUGACUGGUACUAUUGCUUUCUGGUUCCCCUUACACUACCUGUAAUGAUCAUUUUGGUAUAUUUGCAUUGGCUUAGUAUGAAGCUCUUUAAACAUGCUUGAAAAACUCCUUGUUUUCUGCCUCCACUGCAAUAAGUUGCAUACUUUUUGCCCCAAGGCUGGUUUCCCCCCAGAAUUCUAGUUGGACUAAGCAUAUUUCAAAACCUGUGGAGAUUCCUUGGUGAUGCGUGUGGACUUUGACCUUUCAGAGAAAUUGCUGUGAUGUUGAUCUAUUCUACAAAAUGUUACAGGAGGUUGUCAUUUUUAUUAGAGCUUCUAUCGUGCAGAGGUUUAUGAAAGAGCGUAUUUAGUUUGAUUCACCUUCUCUCUCACACAACCCCAUUAUUAAUCAGCAACUGGUUCAUUGGUAAAUAUUUGAUUUAAUAUAAUCAUGUGUAUAUGCGAUUGUACUUCUACGUUGUAAAGAUGGAUUUGUCAUAUAUUGUACCAGCAAGUCAGGUUGUAAACCAAAGUAGGAUUAGGAAUUCUAUCCUCUCCUAAGAAUUAAAUUGAUUCAUAGAGCUAGAUGAAUUUACUGUCAUUAAA